CUGAGGCUGUGCAGCAGAUGCCAGAGUGUUCACUGUAAUGAGGGACUGGAGAAGGACCUAAGCUUUACCAGCAUUUGAAUUGCUCUGGACUGCUCAUCACUACUUUAAUUUAUACUCUUAGAGAGAUGGCAACAGGGUGUAUGUCUCCUAUGGAAGUGAUUUGAAAGCUUGCCAAGAAAGGGCCUCAGUCCUUUCCUCCUUAUAGUCCUGGCACGUAGAACCACAGAAGAAAACAAAAAGCGUUUGUGAGGAGUCAUCCAGGAAGAAAGAUUAACAAUACAAACCAAAGGAGGAGAGAGAAAAGACCCCUUCCUCAUUGAAACUGGAUUUGUGCUUAUUCUAAUGGAACUUUUACAGACCCUGAAUGUCCUCUAAUCUGAACGUAAUGCUCGUUGCUGCUUCUGCUGUUUCUUUGUUCGACAUCCUGCCUAUUCUGCUUGUGGUUGGGCGAGGGGAGGGGGAAGCGCAGUCAGUGGCCAGCUUUGUCUUUGUGUGAGGAACAAAUGUUGUUGUCAUCCUCAAGGUCGUGGAGCAUGUCUGCUUCACAAAACAAAGGGGUAGGCAGGGCCUUGUUUCUCCACCUUGUUCUCAGCGCACCCUGGACCUUUCAGGAAAAACCAGGAGGGUUUCUAAUGUUUUCUUUUCCUGAAACACAUCAAAGACCGCAUCACUGCAGCCUGCGCCUGGAGAAGAGCAGUGGAGGAGGGCUGUGGAAACCAAGUAUACAGGAUUUAUACCUCUUCGUGUCUUCUCUGCUUCUCACAACACAAACUGACUUUGAAAGAUUGGCUCAGAAAAUGAAUACCCAGGACAUUGCUCUCUGUUACUUUGCUGUGAAAUUACUUUUCUGAAUGAAAAUAUUGAAUUCCUUUGAAAGCAAGUGCAUAAUAUCUCUGGAAAUGAAAAUCCUGUGGAACUCACAAAGGAAAGAAGACCAAGGGAUAUGAAGGCUUUAUAUCUCUAAAUGUUAGUCAGGCUGAGCUUCUUCUUUUACUUUCUUUUUGUGUGUAUUUGUGUGACAACAAUCAUAAAUGCUCUUUCUGAUGUUGAUACAGUGGGUGCUGGAAUCUCUUUGAUGGUUAUAUGAGGUUUAUGUUUUAUCUACAAUAAACAGACAAUAACAUGAUCUUUAAUUUAUUGG
rnacentral:lncRNA from 1 species